GUAUGUGCAUUUAUCAACUCAUACUGGUGCUGCACAAAUAACUUUGAUCCACCACAAUGCAUCACUAUGAGCCUCGAUCGGUUCUCUGUAUUCUUUUUGCAUAAAGCUUAAUAAGCAAAUGCAUUUAAGAUAUAAGUUAACAUAUAUUACAAUACCACAACCAUUCAAUAAUUUAUAUUUUUAUUAUAUAUAAUAGUUAUACCCUGUAUACAGCAUCCUCGUACUUGUUGCAUAGGAGAUCCC
rnacentral:lncRNA from 1 species